rnacentral:lncRNA from 1 species
AGUUCUGUUUUCUCAAGUCAAAAAUCUUAACCUUACUUUUACAAGUGAUUAGGAUUAUUAUUAUUAUUUUAUUUACAUGUAAAUUGAAACAAUAAAUAUUGUGCUGUGUCAUAAUUUCAAACUCAUUAUGUUGCAGUCUUUUCCAGUUGAUAAAAUUGCAAUUCAAAAACUUUUAGAUUUGCACUGUAUGGAUGGCACAGGAAGAGAACAAGAACAUGAAACAUCUUAUUAUGAAUGUAUAUGUAUGUGAUCCUCAAAAAAUUAUUUUACAAAACAAGAUAGAGAAAGAGCUUUAAAAUCCCAAGGAUCCUGCAAAAUGUUUAUUUGGUGUACUAGUCGAAUAAUAGUAUCUAAAAAUAUUGAAACUAUUUUAAAACACAUUACGGGCAUGAGGAUGAUAUAGAGCACUUACAUAAAUACCAAAAUCAGAUAAAUAUCUCUUCAAAGUUUAUUUUGAGACUUUCUUCAAAAAUUAAACUUCAGACUGUUCAGGAUAGCAUAAUAGCAUAGGAGGCGAAUUAAAAAGAAUUGAUUUACUUACAAGAAAAGAUAUCACAAACAUUAAACUCUCUUAUGGCAUUGAUUUGAAAGAUGGGUAUAUGUACAAUGAUGAUGCAACCAGUGUUUAUUUUUGGGUUGAAUGCUUACAGACUCAUGUCCAAUAUUAUUUUACAAACAACAGGGCAUACUAAUGGAUAUUCAUUCUGAAUUUAACAUUUAUGAUUUUUGUCUUAUUUCCUUAAUACUGUGCCAAAAGGAAAUGUUAAUUAAGUUUGGUAAAUCCUUUAUAGCAAUCGAUGGAACUCAUGGGCUCAAUUCCUAUGACUUUGAACUUAUUGACAGUAUUAGUAAAAGAUGAAUUUGGGAAUGGAUUUUGUACUGCUUUCUUAUUUUCAAAUAGAAAAGAUACCUACUUUAAUUUACCAAUUUUUUUAAAUACAUGUCUGUGUUGGUAUUAUAUGUAUAGUCAAAUGUUUUCAUAUCAGGCAUAAGCGACACCUUUUACAAUGCCUCGUCAAAUGUAAUGGGUAUUGCUCCUAAUAGACUGUUAAGUGCCUGGCACAUAUAUAGGGCAUGGUAAGUAAAUCUUAAUAAAAUAUCUGAUUCUGAAAAAAAUACUAUUAUGUAUACAAGAUGUAUUAAUGAUGGUUUAGAGAGUAUUAAUAGCUUUUUGGGUAGACUUCUAAGUGAUGUAGAUACAUACAAUUUUAGUAAGUAUUUCCAGUAGAACUACUACAAUAACAUCCAACAAUGGGCCUAUUGUUAUAGGAAGGGGUUGUGGAAUUAAUACCAAUAUGACCAUUCAAAAUUUUCAUAAAAUUUUGGAUAAAAGGGUAUCCAUUAGUUGUUAUAAGUUAAGUUUAAAACUUGGCACUCAUGGAGAGCUAUACCAUAAUAUAUAAUAGGUAUAUCUCAUAAUAUUACAUCUCAUAUUGCUCACUCAUUACAAUAGUGAGCAAUAUGAGAUAUAACAUAUUAUAGUAUAAGUCUCUGUGCAUGACCAGAUUAACAUGUUUGGUGCCCAUCUCGAACAAGCUCCACUUGGCUGGUACCACAUACUUAAAUCAUUUAUUUAGUUACACAGUACUACUCACAUAACUUAUGUGUCGUCAGUACCUUCCGUAAAACCUUCGUGAUGCUACCCAUACGUCAUGGCCACUGAAUGUGUUAAAGCUUGUUAAUGUAGGAGAGUUAUACUAAAAUAUAUAUCUUAUAUUAUAUUGCCUUAAAUAGAAAAAAUAUCUUAUUUAAAUUGUAUCCAUGUAAGUUUUGAUUUAAUGAAAUAAACCUUUUAAUCAAAAAAGUGUUGUUUACUUGUGUACACCCAGCAAUAUCCUGAUCAUAGAUAAAUAAUAUAGUAUUACCGGAUCCUGAUAUGCAGACGCCAAUAGGGCUUUUCAUCGAUUGUCAUUUGUUUCGAGCUUCUGUCAUGAGUCACAUAAUAUUAAUGUAUCUACGCUACGUCAUACGUCUUUGGUUUGUAUCAUUGGUAUAUACC